UACGUAGGGUGCGAGCGUUACUCGGAAUUACUGGGCGUAAAGCGUGCGCAGGCGGUUCUUUAAGUCAGGUGUGAAAGCCCUGGGCUUAACCUAGGAAUUGCGCUUGAGACUGGAUAGCUUGGAGUGCGGCAGAGGGAGGUGGAAUUCCACGUGUAGCAGUGAAAUGCGUAGAGAUGUGGAGGAACACCGAUGGCGAAGGCGGGUCUCUGGGCAGUAACUGACGCUGAGGAGCGAAAGCGUGGGGAGCGAACAGG
rnacentral:rRNA from 1 species